CCCUUAGAUGUUCUGGGCCGCACGCGCGCUACACUGACGAAUGCAACGAGCUUAUAACCUUGGCCGAAAGGUCUGGGUAAUCUCCAAAUUUCGUCGUGAUGGGGAUAGAUUAUUGCAAUUAUUAAUCUUCAACGAGGAAUGCCUAGUAAGCGCAAGUCAUCAGCUUGCGUUGAUUACGUCCCUGCCCUUUGUACACACCGCCCGUCGCUCCUACCGAUUGAAUGGUCCGGUGAAAUCCUCGGAUCGAGCCGUGGGGCAACUCCGGUUCGAGAAGUUGAUUAAACCUUACCAUUUAGAGGAAGGUGAANUCGUAACA
rnacentral:rRNA from 1 species